AGGAUCAGAUAGCCCCAUAGGUAAACAACAAAUUAAUAGGAAGGCACAGCAGUGAAAAAGGCCCAAAAGCACCCUGAAUAUGAAAUAAUAGUUAGGGAAUAUAAUAAAUGAAAAUGUGAUAGGAAGGAUAGAGGGGAAAAAAGCUCAUGUUAAAAUCCUGGACCUUAGAAGUGAAGGACAACAAACCAGGUUUGAAAGGACUCACAUAUAGGGCAGUCGUGGUGGGGAGGGAGGGCAAGAAGCUUACCACUCAGCAAAUACUCACAAAGAUCUGUUGCUGCAUUUAUUUUUUUCUAACAAAACCCACAUAUAUGGAGGACUUUCUAAAAGGAAGGCUCAAAAAAUGGCUUUCUGCACUAAAAUGUUUUGGUGGGAGAGUACAACAAAGGACAUGUGAGAAAAAAAAGUCACAUGUAUCAGCAUCAUCAGAAGUUUCUGAUUUCCUUCCCAACUUAAAACCUCCAAUAAAAUGAAAAUGCAACAUUGAAGACUAAUUUAUCACUUACAACAGUCAAUAGGCAUGUCAUUCA
rnacentral:misc_RNA from 1 species